UACGGGGGGGGCAAGCGUUGUUCGGAAUUACUGGGCGUAAAGGGCUCGUAGGCGGCCAACUAAGUCCGACGUGAAAUCCCAAGGCUUAACCUUGGAACUGCGUCGGAUACUGGAUGGCUUGGAUUUGGGAGAGGAAUGCGGAAUUCCAGGUGUAGCGGUGAAAUGCGUAGAUAUCAGGAGGAACACCGGUGGCGAAGGCGGAUCUCUGGGCCGUAACUGACGCUGAGGAGCGAAAGCAUGGGGAGCGAACAGG
rnacentral:rRNA from 1 species